rnacentral:lncRNA from 1 species
CGUUGACGGGGAGUCAAUGGAUUCUCGUUAUGAUCAAGCUUAAGUGGAUUUGGCUUUUGGAAGCCACCCGUAUCCUUGAAUUGAAUUGUGAUUAAAUUGUUAUAGUACAAUACUGUGUUUACUCAUUUAUAUUACGCCUUUAAUUGGCUAUGUGCUUACAUGUUUUUUUGGAACCUCACUGAGCUUUAGCUCACCCCACUCCUUUUGUUUUCCUUAACAGAUCUG